rnacentral:rRNA from 1 species
UACAGAGGGUGCGAGCGUUAAUCGGAAUUACUGGGCGUAAAGCGCGCGUAGGCGGCGCUUUAAGUCAGAGGUGAAAGCCCGGUGCUCAACAUCGGAAUUGCCUUUGAGACUGGGUUGCUAGAAUCCGGGAGAGGUGAGUGGAAUUCCGAGUGUAGAGGUGAAAUUCGUAGAUAUUCGGAAGAACACCAGUGGCGAAGGCGGCUCACUGGACCGGUAUUGACGCUGAGGUGCGAAAGCGUGGGGAGCAAACAGG